GACUUCCAUAGUGUGUGGUGAAAGACCCGAGCCAACCAGCAGUAUACGCAUUGAUAUCACCAACGGCUACGACUUCAGGAAACCUGUGCAUGAACUUCAUCAAUACCUGGAAACAAACGCGUAGACUUGAAUGUGGUUCUCGAAAUCUAUGCGCACCAGUAGAGAAAAUAGAAGCUCAAUUUGAUUACCGAGAAUACGAUGGGCAGAAAGAAAGAUAUUGUUCGCUGAGGCAUUCUUCGAACCUAAAGUGGCAGUAUUUUGCGGAACAUCUGUAGUUGUAGGUGAAUGAAUAGAACCAGUGACUAGAAUGUCACUGGUCAUUAAAUGUUACUUGUGAGAGUGAUACAAUAUUGCGAGGUACGCUCAUUUAUCAAAAACAAUAGCUUUGACAAGAUCUCAUCUGGCGUCUGAUAAGCGACGAGGCUGGCCAUAAAGUGUCCCUUUGUAUCUCUGUCA